AUGGGGGAUUCUCGAAGAGAAAACGCGUGUUUUUGGGUUAAAUGGGGGGUUUCCGAAGAGAAAACGCGUGAUUUUCAAGUUAAAUGGGUGAUUAUCAAAGAGAAAAAGCAUGAUUUUCUCCUAAAUGGGAGAUUCUCGAAGAGAAAACGUGUGAUUUUCGGGUUAAAUGGGGGAUUCUCAAAGAGAAAACGCGUGAUUUUCGGGUUAAAUGGGGGAGUCUCGAGGAGAAAGCACAUGAUUUUCGCUUAAAUGGGAGCUUCUUAAUGAGAAAUCGCAUGAUUUUCGGGUUAAACAAUAGAUUUCCGAAUAGAAAACGUGUGAUUUUCAGGUUAAUAGGGUUUCUCGAAGAGAAAACGCAUGAUUUUCGGUCUAAAUGGGGGAUUCUCGAAGAGAAAUCGCGUGAUUUUCGCUUAAAUGGGGGUUUCCGAUGAGAAAAUGCUUGAUUUUUGCUUAAAUGGGGAUUUGCAAAGAAAGACCGCGUGAUUUUUCGGGUUAAACAUAGAUUUCCGAAUAGAAAACGUGUGAUUUUCGGGUCAAAUGGGGGAUUCUCGAAGAGUAACCACCAGAUUUUCGCUUAAAUGAAGGAUUUGCAAAGAGGAAGCGUGUGAUUUCUGCUUAAAUGGGGGAUUCUCAAAAAGAAAACGUGAUUUUUGGGUUAAAUGGGGGGUUCUUGAAGAGAAAACGCGUGAUUUUCGGGUUAAAUGGGGGAUUCUUGAAGAGAAAACGCGUGAUUUUCGGGUUAAAUGGGGAUUCUUGAAGAGAAAACGCGUGAUUUUCACUAAAAUGGGGGAUUCUCGAAGAGAAAACGCGUGAUUUUCGGGUUUAAAUGGGGGAUUUGUGAAGAGAAAAUGCGUGAUUUUUUUGGUUAAAUGGGGGAUUGUCGAAGAGAAAACGCGUGAUUUUUGCUUAAAUGGGGAAUUUCCGAAGAAAAAACGCGUGAUUUACUGUUAAAUGGCGGAUUUCCAAGUAGAAACCGCGUGAUUUUCUCUUAAAUGGGUGAUUAUCAAAGAGAAAAAGCAUGAUUUUCUCUUAAAUGGGAGAUUCUUGAUGAGAAAACGCGUGAUUUUUGGGUUUAAUGGGGGAUUGUCGAAGAGAAACCACCUGAUUUUCGCUUAAUGAAGGAUUUGC
rnacentral:lncRNA from 7 species